UUGUAAAUUGCCCAGUCUUAGGUAUGUCUUUAUCAGCAGUGUGAAAAUGGACAAAUACACCCUUUCACCCUUUGCUCUUACUUUUAAGGUCUGCCAAGAGGAGAAAGCUCUGUAAUUAACUUUUGAUCCUUGUGAUUGCUAGCAGAGGCUCUAAUUCAGUCCAGUGACUAGGCAGGCACCGUGCGAGGCUCUGGGCACCCACACAGCUGCUGUGGAAAGAGCUGACAGCCGGCAGAAAAUGAAGAGAAGCAAAGGACCCAAAACUCAGGCCUUGACUGAGAAAUUCCCAAAAAAGCAAGAGGCUACUGAACUGAUCUCUAGCUAAUCACUUUCAGAGCACCCAAGGCAGGAACUGACACUUGUGACAGUGGUAAUAAAGGAGGACUUUAAGGACUAAAUGCAGUUCUCUAAUUCUGAGUCCACUGAGGGAAAAGUUCUUCUCCACCUCAAGGCUACUUACUUUGGCAGCGUUUCCCAUCCUCAGCGAGCCGGAAUCCCUCCAAGCACUUGCAUGUGUAUGAGUCGUCACUGUUCACACAAAUGUGUUCACAGCCAUGGUCUACUGCUUGGCAGACAUCUUUCCCUGAAGACGGGAGAGCAAGUUUCAACAAUUUCGCCAACAUGCAUUUCACAUGGACUUCACCCUGGAGGACCCAUCUGCUGGAGUCCGCUACCGGAUUCUACUGCCCCCUGAGCUCAGUGGUCUGCGGGGCAGGAAGAUACAAUUGAGAACAAAGUUUAGGGGCUCUAAUUCGAGCUAACCCUUCAAACUGUUUCACAGUCUUCACCAUCAUCAUUCACCAGCACUACUUUAGUGUUAAAAUGCAGUCCAUCAUCAGCUUUCUGUAGACAUAGUUUCUGAUAUCAGAAUGGAAACACUGUUGAUAUGAUUCCUUAGGAGAUGAAACCUCAAUUUAGAUUAGCAGCACUGAAAUCUCACUUUGGCUUUGUGCCUGACAUAGUGUAUGACUUAGGAGAAUAACUUAACUUCUUGGAGUCUUAGCUUUGCUGUCUAAAAAAUGAGAGAGUAAUUACUCCAGCUACCCAUCUUUCCUUACAAAAGUGUCAACAUGAGUUGCUCUUUAUAAAGUGCUUUGAGACGUUGACAAAAAGAUAACUGAUAGGGCUGGAAACCAGGGUCACACACUCCCCUUUGAUUAUUCAGAGAUGUGUCUUGAGAUUUACGCCAGCAAGUCACUCUAAGGCUGCUUGUCCUGGGUUGGCUGGCUGCAGCCCCAUCUAAGAGGCUUUGCCUUCUGAAAGGCAAAACUGGCUUCAUCACAAGGUGCCCUCUGGGAAGGAUUUGUGCUACCAGAAAUAACAACAACAACAACAUUAUUAAAGAUAAAUAAGCAGAGAGGCUUAGAGAAGUUAGACAACUUUCCCAGCUAAUGAAUGGCAGAGACAGAAGUUGAUUGAAUCUUGGAUUUCUGACUGUCCAUCUUUCCACUAGAGUAUACUGCCAAACCACUGUUUCUUGCCACAGAGCAUAUAAAUGAAGAACUUCAGUAAUAGCUCUGGCAUCCACUUUGUUUGUCCAUUUUUUUAAUAGACUUUAUUGUUUAGGACAGUUUUAGAUUUACACAAAAAUUGAGAUGAUAGUGCAAAGAAUUGCCAUAUACCCUACACCUAAUUUUCCCUAUUAUUAACACCUCACAUGAGUGUGGUCCCUCCGUUAUUAUUAAUAAACCCAUACUGAUACAUGAUUAUUAGCUAAAGUCUGUAUUUUAUUGACAUUUACUUAGUUUUUCCCUAAUGUCCUUUUUCUCUUUCAGGAUCCUAUCCAGGACACUACAUUACAUUUUGCCGUGUGGCAUUGACUUCUGAGAGGAACUGAUGUAUACAGAGGGUUUCUGGGAUGCUGCCUGGGUCUUUAGACUUUUUCCAAGCCCCAUAAAUGAUUUCAACGAAUCAUCAGAGACUAGGGGAGGCUCCCGCGGCCCCCUCCUUCCCACAUCACCACUCUCACCCCAUGGAAUGGACGCUGUCUCUGCUAUCCUUCUUCCCUAAGAAGCUUUAAACGCUGUCAGGGCACAAACGGAAUCUGCAUCAACCCCAGAGAUCCCCAGCACCCCGCACACUGCAGGUACACAGUAAAUAUUCGUAGAGAACGAGGGUAAAGGAACCAAGUGCUUAAGGAAGUACCUAGAUUCAAACCCAGAGAGGAGAGCAAAGACAGACUCCAUUAGGAGCCAUCACUUAAGUGAAAUAGGUGGGAGGACGUAUGAGAAAUCUCAAGAGGGAGGAAGAAAACAUUCUUCCUCUCAAAGAAGGAUUCUCCUCCUUUUACACAUAAGGACCCAGGCCUACGUUUUUAAUUAAACCCUCAUCGUGAAUGGAUUCUGCAGUGUGUGCUCAGGAUGAUGAGAAGUUUUAGGAUGUAGCACAGGUCUUUAGGGUCCACGUCUAGCAGCUCUGCACGCUGACACAGGUGAGUCACAUAUGUCUGUGGCGCAGCAACUGUGGGGCAACGUGUUCUGUGGACUUGCACCUCUGCCGUGAUGACAGACAGCAAUCCUGCGUCUGGGGCUCCACGUAAGACGCUGUUAACCCCAACCCCAGAGAUGGAAAGCCACAGCGGCCAUCUGCCAAGACAGUAACCAGAAGCCGACAGAUAGAAUUACACUGCUUCCUGGCUUUUCUCGUAAUAAAACUAGGAGCAGCCAAUCCUUUGCUAACUUAAUAUAGGCUUUUUCUCAGACAAACCAAGAAGCAGCUGAACUGAGAUGUGCUUUUCCAGGGCAUCUCACACUGGGCAAAAGAUCCUGAAAUCAGGGGACUCGGCUCUGGUCCUGGCUCUGCCACUGACUCCCCCACCAGGGCCAGCUUGGAGGCAUCGUUUUCCUCCAUGUGUCUGUUUCCCACAAAAUAAGGGAAAAUCUCUACCUUCCUUCUGUUGCAUCAAGCCUGUAAUAUAAAUACCUGACAGUGAGGGUGGUCUCCUCCCCCUACUCCCUGCUACAGACUGUUUCCCCCAAAAUUCACAUCUGAUAUUAGCCCUGAUGUGAGGGUAUGUGGAGGUGGAGUCUUUGGGAGGUCAUUAGGUUUAGAUGGGGUUGUGAGGGCAGGAUCCUGACCUGAUAGGAUUAGUGUUCUUAUAAUAAGACGAGACACUAGAGAACUUGCCUGUACUCUUUGCUCUCUCUCCCUACAACUCAUGCAAUAUGAGGACACAGUGGGGUGCUGGCUGUCUGCAAACUAGGAAGAGGGCCCUCACCAGAACCCAGCCAUGCCAGCACCUGGAUCCUGGACUUCCAGCCUCCAGAACUGUGAGAAAUAAAUUUCUGUGGUUAAGAAAAAACAUUCAGUCUAUGAUAUUUUGUGAUGGGAGCCUGAGUAGACUAAGACACUCCCCUAGCCUUGCCUAGAGCUGCCUCAGCCUAGCAGGCCCUCGCAGAUCUGUCUGUAGUAGUUGGACUGGGAGUAUCACCAGCAGAGAUGCCCCUAGGCUGAUGGCUCUGAUCCCUGUUGGUGUCCUCCGCUUGCAGAAGGGAGGGUCCCUCAUAGGACAGCCCUUGGAAAGAGUCCAGGCCCCUUCCAGAGUUGUACAUCUCUGGGGCCCCUCCAAGGAGAGCAGGC